UACGUAGGGUGCAAGCGUUGUCCGGAAUUAUUGGGCGUAAAGGGCUCGUAGGCGGUUUGUUACGUCAGGAGUGAAAACUCGGGGCUCAACCCCGAGCCUGCUUCUGAUACGGGCAGACUAGAGGUAUGCAGGGGAGAACGGAAUUCCUGGUGCAGCGGUGAAAUGCGCAGAUAUCAGGAGGAACACCGGUGGCGAAGGCGGUUCUCUGGGCAUUACCUGACGCUGAGGAGCGAAAGUGUGGGGAGCGAACAGG
rnacentral:rRNA from 1 species